UACGUAGGUGACAAGCGUUGUCCGGAUUUACUGGGCGUAAAGAGCGCGCAGGCGGUCGUUCAAGUCGAGUGUGAAAGCCCCCGGCUCAACUGGGGAGGGUCAUUCGAUACUGAUCGACUCGAAGGCAGGAGAGGGUAGUGGAAUUCCCGGUGUAGCAGUGAAAUGCGUAGAUAUGCGGAGGAACACCGAUGGCGAAGGCAAUCCCCUGGACCUGUACUGACGCUCAUGCACGAAAGCGUGGGGAGCAAACAGG
rnacentral:rRNA from 1 species